rnacentral:sRNA from 1 species
CAAGGGCGAGGAAGCCGACAGGACAUGCACUCAGGAUGAGUUGUCAGGAGCGCCAGGAGGCGAAGACCAGGGAUUACCGUCAGGAUGACAAACGUCUGGAGACGUUUUGAUAAGGAAAGGGAUGUAACAAGGACUGUUAUUAGCUAAAGGAAAGACAGGGUGUGUCGUUAGCUAACAAGGAAAGUGGAAACCCGUUAAGGGUUGUCAGUGAGGAAAAAGGCGACAGUGUAAUCUGUCGCCUUUUUUCUUUGCUUGCUU